rnacentral:rRNA from 1 species
UGGGGAAUUUUGGACAAUGGGCGCAAGCCUGAUCCAGCCAUGCCGCGUGAGUGAAGAAGGCCUUCGGGUUGUAAAGCUCUUUCGGCCGGGAAGAAAUCGUGUUCUCUAACAUAGGACAUGGAUGACGGUACCGGACUAAGAAGCACCGGCUAACUACGUGCCAGCAGCCGCGGUAAUACGUAGGGUGCGAGCGUUAAUCGGAAUUACUGGGCGUAAAGCGUGCGCAGGCGGUUUUGUAAGACAGAUGUGAAAUCCCCGGGCUCAACCUGGGAACUGCAUUUGUGACUGCAAGGCUAGAGUGCGUCAGAGGGAGGUUGAAUUCCGCGUGUAGCAGUGAAAUGCGUAGAGAUGCGGAGGAACACCGAUGGCGAAGGCAGCCUCCUGGGAUGACACUGACGCUCAUGCACGAAAGCGUGGGGAGCAAACA